rnacentral:rRNA from 1 species
GACGAACGCUGGCGGCGUGCCUAAUACAUGCAAGUCGAGCGAGACUCUUCGGAGUCUAGCGGCGGACGGGUGAGUAACACGUGGGCAACCUGCCUGUAAGACUGGGAUAACACCGGGAAACCGGUGCUAAUACCGGAUAAUCCUUUUCCUCUCAUGAGGAAAAGCUGAAAGUCGGUUUCGGCUGACACUUACAGAUGGGCCCGCGGCGCAUUAACUAGUUGGUGAGGUAACGGCUCACCAAGGCGACGAUGCGUAGCCGACCUGAGAGGGUGACCGGCCACACUGGGACUGAGACACGGCCCAGACUCCUACGGGAGGCAGCAGUAGGGAAUCUUCCACAAUGGACGAAAGUCUGAUGGAGCAACGCCGCGUGAGCGAUGAAGGCCUUCGGGUCGUAAAGCUCUGUUGUUAGGGAAGAACAAGUACCGGAGUAACUGCCGGUACCUUGACGGUACCUAACCAGAAAGCCACGGCUAACUACGUGCCAGCCGCCGCGGUAAAAC